rnacentral:rRNA from 1 species
UACGUAGGUACCUAGCGUUGUCCGGAAUCAUUGGGCGUAAAGCGCGUGUAGGCGGCUUGCCAAGUCCGGUGUGAAAACUGGGGGCUUAACUCCCAGCCUGCACUGGAAACUGGCUUGCUAGAGUCCGGAAGAGGAGACUGGAAUUCCUGGUGUAGCGGUGAAAUGCGCAGAUAUCAGGAAGAACACAUGUGGCGAAGGCGGGUCUCUGGGACGGUACUGACGCUGAGACGCGAAAGCGUGGGGAGCAAACAGG